CACUCCUACGGGAGGCAGCAGUGGGGAAUCUUGGACAAUGGGCGCAAGCCUGAUCCAGCCAUGCCGCGUGAGUGACGAAGGCUUUAGGGUUGUAAAGCUCUUUUGCCGGGGACGAUAAUGACGGUACCCGGAGAAUAAGUCCCGGCUAACUUCGUGCCAGCAGCCGCGGUAAUACGAAGGGGACUAGCGUUGUUCGGAAUUACUGGGCGUAAAGCGCACGUAGGCGGAUUUGUAAGUCAGGGGUGAAAUCCCGGGGCUCAACCUCGGAACUGCCUUUGAUACUGCAAGUCUCGAGUCCGAUAGAGGUGGGUGGAAUUCCUAGUGUAGAGGUGAAAUUCGUAGAUAUUAGGAAGAACACCGGUGGCGAAGGCGGCAUCCUGGACCGACACUGACGCUGAGGAGCGAAAGCCAGGGGAGCAAACGGGAUUAGAUACCCCGGUAGUCCUGGCCCUAAACGAUGAAUGCUUGGUGUGGCGGGUAUCGAUCCCUGCCGUGCCGAAGCUAACGCAUUAAGCAUUCCGCCUGGGGAGUACGGUCGCAAGGCUGAAACUUAAAGGAAUUGACGGACUCCUACGGGAGGCAGCAGUGG
rnacentral:rRNA from 1 species